rnacentral:rRNA from 1 species
AUUGAACGCUGGCGGCAUGCCUUACACAUGCAAGUCGAACGGCAGCACGGGAGCAAUCCUGGUGGCGAGUGGCGAACGGGUGAGUAAAGUAUCGGAACGUGCCCAGUCGUGGGGGAUAACGUAGCGAAAGUUACGCUAAUACCGCAUACGAUCUAUGGAUGAAAGCGGGGGAUCGCAAGACCUCGCGCGAUUGGAGCGGCCGAUAUCAGAUUAGGUAGUUGGUGGGGUAAAGGCUCACCAAGCCGACGAUCUGUAGCUGGUCUGAGAGGACGACCAGCCACACUGGGACUGAGACACGGCCCAGACGCCUACGGGAGGCAGCGGUGGGGAAUUUUGGACAAUGGGCGAAAGCCUGAUCCAGCCAUGCCGCGUGCAGGAUGAAGGCCUUCGGGUUGUAAACUGCUUUUGUACGGAACGAAAAGGUUUGGCCUAAUAAGCUGAGCUCAUGACGGUACCGUAAGAAUAAGCACCGGCUAACUACGUGCCAGCAGCCGCCGUAA